rnacentral:lncRNA from 10 species
GGGCAGUCAUCAGUGGUGUUGACUCAACAGAGUGAGGACAGGCUUGGGCUUCCAGUGAGGUGCCCUGGUCGGCUGAGGGCUGGCAGGGCAGACCUACAGGAAGGGGUCCCUGAGGGGUUCCAAGGCACAGCCCGAGGACAUCACAGGAGGACAAGAAGAGGACAUGAAGGGUGAGAGGGGUGAGGUGAGGACAACGGACAUGAAGGGGACAGAGGAGGGAGGAAGCAGACAGGACCUAAUGGAGACCAGAGGAUGUGCCAGGACAUCCAACCUGUAAGGAGCCGCCCACAGGCUUCUGCACCGUCCUGCAGCUGAUGUACCCAGAGGCCUUCAACACUCCACUCUCUCCUGUGAUGAGGGCCCCAAACCUUCUUGGGGACAUUUGAGUUCCUAGGAGCAGGUGGCCCUGCGACCCUGGCUGGCCUCGUUUCCCAACGCCCCACACCCCACGCUGGGCUGCAGCUCUGGGGACGCUCCUGCUGGCAGGGCCCCUCGCCUGGCCCUCUCUCAGAGCACUCCUCUCUCCUGCCCCCCUGCUCCCCGCCCUCUUCUGGCUUCCUCUCUGCUUCAUCCCUUCAGACUGGUGGGUUCUCUCUCCCGUAUCCUAAGCCCUGUCGCCUGCCCUGGGCUCUUCUCACAGGGGGACUGUCUGCAGGACACAGCAAAGGAGUCCAAGGCCCCCACACCCAGGACACCCCUGCUCCUGGCUCCUCCAGGCACAGAGGAUCGCAGCCAUGGAAGAGGACUCAGGGAAGAGGCUAGACCAUGUGGGGAGCUUGCCAAGAAUUCCUCGGGAGCACAGGACUGCAGGCACCUCUUGCCAACCACAAUACCCCUCUCCAGCUGUGUCACAGACCUCCCCCUGCAGAUGCCCGUGAAUUUGCACAAAACUUGCCGCUGUUUGAGACGGUGUGACUGAGCAAUGUUCUUCCAUACUAAAUCUUCCCUAAAGCUCUUAAAUUUAAAUCUGUAUAGUUGGAGAAGGGGUCUGAAUGAAGCACGAUAUCAGUUCUUUAUCUGGUCAACUGGAUGGAUGCUGAGUAAUGAACUUGUGAUAUGUUUUAUUGUAUAUAAAGUUAUCUGAUAUAAUUGACCUAAAAAUUCAAAAUGAUGAAUGUAAAAUUCAGAUUUAUUUUAAUAAUUUAUUUGUAAUAGUUUCAUAUUUCUUAAUUAUAAUUUCUAUUUUGUGUUCUGAUGUUAACAGAUAUUUGACUAUUUUAGAAAAAAGUUUUGCAAUGUAUAAAAUAAUUAUACUUUUUGAAAUUUUAUAUUUAUUUCAAUUUUUGAUAAAUGUUCAAGUUUUUUUGAAUGCCAGUGAAUUUUAUUUUUAAUUCUAUGUAACAUUACUGUCAAAUAUACAAGUUCUAAAGAAAAAUGCAAGCUCUAAAAUGCUCCUUAAUUACAUCAUAAUUAGACAUUUUGCUGAAAUGAAAGCAAAC